rnacentral:tRNA from 2 species
GCAUUGGUGAUUCAGUGGUAGAAUUCUCGCCUUGCAUGCGGGAGACCUGGGUUCAAUUCCCGGCCAACGCA